CAGGCUAGAGAGGGCUGGGGGGCAGCCAAGGUGAGCAGAAGGUGUGCCCUGCUCUGCCCAGAGACCUCUUGCUCACAGUGCUGGUGCUGAUCCCCUCGCUGGGACUGUGUGAGUCCUCACACCUGCGUCCGCUCACCGGAUCCUCACAGCAUGUUUGUGAGGAAAGGAAGUGGCAGAGAGAAAGCUAUGAUUCUGAUGAUGUGACAGCCAGCCGAGGGACAGGCCGUGAGCACAGACGGCGCCAGGAAGGAGUCUC